ACACACACACACACACACACACACACACACACACACACACACACACACACACACAUUCACCGUGCAAAUACUUCCAGGAGUGUGUUCGUGGGGCAUGCUAGAACAGGUCACGCUUUCAUGCUGAACCAGACACACACACACACACACACCCACAACUUGCCAUUCAGCGUGUACCUUUUGCUCCAGAGCUGUGUUGACCCCAGCUCCUCUCUCUCCCUCGCUCUCUCCGUGCUGCUUGUCUGUGUCUCUCUGCCACGUGGAAUAAGUGGCUGGGUGCUUGGCUCGGUGCUCAGGGACCUGGCCACCCUGACUGUGGUCGCUGAGCUCGGGCUCCCAGCAGGCGGAGGAGUGGCUGUAGCUCCAGCAGUUAGCGGGCUGCUGCUCACUGUUUGGCUCUCUGACCCGUGUUUUGGUUACCGAGGCGCUGGGCUUGUGCGCUGCUACGCUGCUGGCGGGAUGUUUAUCAAACAGCAGUAGAGCUGCUCGGAUCGGGACUCUUCUCUCGCUCCUUGAGGACGGAGAGGAGAUACGACAUGAGUGACUUUCACUACAGAGGAAGUGAAUCACUGCCGACCACAGCUCCCAGUGACUGCUCUGACCGUACGGCUCAGGCAUACAUGACGCGUUGGAGGUGGACCAGGCCGGGAUGCUUCUGAUUUGGCCUCCCUCUGCGUUAAGUGAAUGGGAGCUGAG
ensembl:lncRNA